rnacentral:rRNA from 1 species
GACGAACGCUGGCGGCGUGCUUAACACAUGCAAGUCGAACGGAAAGGCCCUGCUUUUGUGGGGUGCUCGAGUGGCGAACGGGUGAGUAACACGUGAGUAACCUGCCCUUGACUUUGGGAUAACUUCAGGAAACUGGGGCUAAUACCGGAUAGGAGCUCCUGCUGCAUGGUGGGGGUUGGAAAGUUUCGGCGGUUGGGGAUGGACUCGCGGCUUAUCAGCUAGUUGGUGGGGUAGUGGCUUACCAAGGAUGUGACGGGUCGCCGGCCUGAGAGGGUGACCGGCCACAUUGGGACUGAGAUACGGCCCAGACUCCUACGGGAGGCAGCAGUGGGGAAUAUUGCACAAUGGGCGGAAGCCUGAUGCAGCAACGCCGCGUGCGGGAUGACGGCCUUCGGGUUGUAAACAGCUUUCGCCUGUGACGAAGCGGGAGUGACGGUAAUGGGUAAAGAAGCACCGGCUAACUACGUG